rnacentral:misc_RNA from 1 species
GAUGAAGAACGUAGCGAAAUGCGAUAAGUAAUGUGAAUUGCAGAAUUCAGUGAAUCAUCGAAUCUUUGAACGCACAUUGCGCCCGCCAGUAUUCUGGCGGGCAUGCCUGUCUGAGCGUCAUUUCAACCCUCAUGCCCCUAGGGCGUGGUGUUGGGGAUCGGCCAAAGCCCGCGAGGGACGGCCGGCCCCUAAAUCUAGUGGCGGACCCGUCGUGGCCUCCUCUGCGUAGUAGCACACCUCGCACUGGGAAACAGCGCGGCCACGCCGUUAAACCCCCAACUUCUGAACGUUUGACCUCGGAUCAGGUAGGAAUACCCGCUGAACUUAAGCAUAUCAAUAAGCGGAGGA